rnacentral:rRNA from 1 species
UAUCGCGUAGGGAUGUAUCGUUGGGUGGGGGACAACCUUGGGAAACUGGGGCUAAUACCGCAUGACGCCUGUGGGCCAAAGCCUGUGAGGGCGCCUGAUGAGCAGCCUGCGUCCGAUUAGCUAGUUGGUUGGGUAAUGGCUGACCAAGGCUGUGAUCGGUAGCUGGUCUGAGAGGAUGAUCAGCCACACUGGGACUGAGACACGGCCCAG